UAACACGUGGAUAACCUACAUAUAAGACUGGGAUAACUUCGGGAAACCGGAGCUAAUACCGGAUAAUAUUUUGAACCGCAUGGUUCAAAAGUGAAAGACGGUCUUGCUGUCACUUAUAGAUGGAUCCGCGCUGCAUUAGCUAGUUGGUAAGGUAACGGCUUACCAAGGCAACGAUGCAUAGCCGACCUGAGAGGGUGAUCGGCCGCACUGGAACUGAGACACGGUCCAG
rnacentral:rRNA from 1 species